GACGAACGCUGGCGGCGUGCUUAACACAUGCAAGUCGAACGGAAAGGCCCUGCUUUUGUGGGGUGCUCGAGUGGCGAACGGGUGAGUAACACGUGAGUAACCUGCCCUUGACUUUGGGAUAACUUCAGGAAACUGGGGCUAAUACCGGAUAGGAGCUCCUGCUGCAUGGUGGGGGUUGGAAAGUUUCGGCGGUUGGGGAUGGACUCGCGGCUUAUCAGCUUGUUGGUGGGGUAGUGGCUUACCAAGGCUUUGACGGGUAGCCGGCCUGAGAGGGUGACCGGCCACAUGGGGACUGAGAGACGGCCCAGACUCCUACGGGAGGCAGCAGUGGGGAAUAUUGCACAAUGGGCGGAAGCCUGAUGCAGCAACGCCGCGUGCGGGAUGACGGCCUUCGGGUUGUAAACCGCUUUCGCCUGUGGCGAAGAGUGAGUGACGGUAAUGGGUAAAGAAGCACCGGCUAACUACGUG
rnacentral:rRNA from 1 species